rnacentral:rRNA from 1 species
CCUACGGGUGGCAGCAGUGGGGAAUAUUGCGCAAUGGGCGAAAGCCUGACGCAGCGACGCCGCGUGAGGGAUGAAGGUCUUCUGAUCGUAAACCUCUGUCAGCAGGGAAGAACGGUCACUGUGCUAAUCAGCAGUGCAUUGACGGUACCUGCAAAGGAAGCACCGGCGAACUCCGUGCCAGCAGCCGCGGUAAUACGGAGGGUGCGAGCGUUGAUCGGAAUUACUGGGCGUAAAGCGCUCGUAGGCGGUAUGUCAAGUCAAGGGUGAAAUCCCCGCGCUCAACGUGGGAACUGCCUUUGAAACUGGCAAACUGGAGUGUGUGAGAGGAUAGUGGAAUGCCAGGUGUAGGAGUGAAAUCCGUAGAUAUCGGGAGGAACAUCAGUGGCGAAGGCGACUAUCUGGCACAUAACUGACGCUGAGGAGCGAAAGCGUGGGUAGCAAACAGGAUUAGAUACCCCGGUAGUC